rnacentral:lncRNA from 1 species
CGAGAGAUUAAACUAACAUCAUAUUUAGUCUUCUCACAUUUUGAAUUUCAUUGUUUCAAUAUUCUUCCAUCCAGAAUGAAGAGGACAGAAUUCUGAAAUCCACAAAUUCAAAAUUCUUCCACAAUUCUACCCAUAAUCAUCAUUCUACAAUCCAAAAAUCCAAGGACAGAAUUCUAAAUUCAGAAAUCCCAAUUCAGUGUUGCAUCCCCAUUAACAGUAAAAGUUGGGCCAAACCAUAUCUCUAGAAAAUCACCAAUAAUUUUUUUUCCUCAAGAAUAUGCUAUACAAAUGAUGGCUUUCUAAUUGCUAUAUCACAAAGACAACUCUAGCAGUUUGUAUGACUCAGAAG